CUCGACGCAUGUGGUGGUGGUGGAAAGCUUUUGUGGUUUUGGAUGGACUCGCGGCCUAUCAGCUUGUUGGUGGGGUAAUGGCCUACCAAGGCGACGACGGGUAGCCGGCCUGAGAGGGUGACCGGCCACACUGGGACUGAGACACGGCCCAGACUCCUACGGGAGGCAGCAGUGGGGAAUAUUGCACAAUGGGCGCAAGCCUGAUGCAGCGACGCCGCGUGAGGGAUGACGGCCUUCGGGUUGUAAACCUCUUUCAGUAGGGAAGAAGCCGCAAGGUGACGGUACCUGCAGAAGAAGCGCCGGCUAACUACGUGCCAGCAGCCGCGGUAAUACGUAGGGCGCAAGCGUUAUCCGGAAUUAUUGGGCGUAAAGAGCUCGUAGGCGGUUUGUCGCGUCUGCUGUGAAAGACCGGGGCUCAACUCCGGUUCUGCAGUGGGUACGGGCAGACUAGAGUGAUGUAGGGGAGACUGGAAUUCCUGGUGUAGCGGUGAAAUGCGCAGAUAUCAGGAGGAACACCGAUGGCGAAGGCAGGUCUCUGGGCAUUAACUGACGCUGAGGAGCGAAAGCAUGGGGAGCGAACAGGAUUAGAUACCCUGGUAGUCCAUGCCGUAAACGUUGGGCACUAGGUGUGGGGGACAUUCCACGUUUUCCGCGCCGUAGCUAACGCAUUAAGUGCCCCGCCUGGGGAGUACGGCCGCAAGGCUAAAACUCAAAGGAAUUGACGGGGGCCCGCACAAGCGGCGGAGCAUGCGGAUUAAUUCGAUGCAACGCGAAGAACCUUACCAAGGCUUGACAUGAACCGGUAACGCCUGGAAACAGGUGCCCCGCUUGCGGUCGGUUUACAGGUGGUGCAUGGUUGUCGUCAGC
rnacentral:rRNA from 1 species